AUCACCUCUUCCAAGCACCACUGUGAGGAAGCGUAAUCCUUAGAGAAAAUGAUGAUUGCAACACAUGAUUCUUCAAUUGCCUUCAUGAGCAUCGGCAAUGUUUGGUCUCCCUUCCUCAGCUCCUCGCUAUCAACGAAAGCAUAUAUUCCAUUAUGAUAUAAAGCUUUGUAGAGAUGACCAAGGAAAGUGUUACGCAGGUCUGUGCCUCUAAAACUCAAGAAGACCUCAUAAUUACUUUUGGGUUUUGAUGAAGAAGCCAUUGGAUGAUCGAGAUUAGCAAUCGGAAAUGGCUUUUCAUCUAUUUAGUCUUCACUUUUCUUUCUCUUAUAUGGAAAAUGAAGAAUCGGCGAAACGUGACCACGAGGUUUCUUUAUAUGAAGGGUUGACGUUGAUAUAUGCUACAAUGUGGUUUAUGAUAUGAUGCAUACUAUGCGUUGCAUUGAUUUAUAAAGAGUGCAUGGAAUAUUCAUGUUAUUUGAUAAUAUUUACUAGUAUGAUUUGCAUAAUGCAUAUCGUGGA
rnacentral:lncRNA from 1 species